rnacentral:rRNA from 1 species
AGACUGAACGCUGGCGGCAGGCCUAACACAUGCAAGUCGAGCGGUAGAGAGGUGCUUGCACCUCUUGAGAGCGGCGGACGGGUGAGUAAUGCCUAGGAAUCUGCCUAGUGGUGGGGGAUAACGUUCGGAAACGGACGCUAAUACCGCAUACGUCCUACGGGAGAAAGCGGGGGACCUUCGGGCCUCGCGCCAUUAGAUGAGCCUAGGUCGGAUUAGCUAGUUGGUGAGGUAAUGGCUCACCAAGGCGACGAUCCGUAACUGGUCUGAGAGGAUGAUCAGUCACACUGGAACUGAGACACGGUCCAGACUCCUACGGGAGGCAGCAGUGGGGAAUAUUGGACAAUGGGCGAAAGCCUGAUCCAGCCAUGCCGCGUGUGUGAAGAAGGUCUUCGGAUUGUAAAGCACGUUUAAGUUGGAGGAAGGCAGUUACCUAAUACGUAUCUGUUUUGACGUUACGACAGAAUAAGCACCGGCUAACGUCUGUCGCCAGCA